AUUGAACGCUAGCGGGAUGCCUUACACAUGCAAGUCGAACGGCAGCGCGGACUUCGGUCCGGCGGCGAGUGGCGAACGGGUGAGUAAUGUAUCGGAAAGUGCCCAGUAGCGGGGGAUAACUACGCGAAAGAGUAGCCAAUACCGCAUACGCCCUACGGGGGAAAGGGGGGGAUCGCCAGACCUCCCACUAUUGGAGCGGCGGAUAGCGGAUUAGCUAGUUGGUGAGGUAAAGGCUCACCAAGGCGACGAGCCGUAGCUGGUUUGAGAGGACGACCAGCCACACUGGGACUGAGACACGGCCCAGACUCCUACGGGAGGCAGCAGUGGGUAAUUUUGGACAAUGGGGGAAACCCUGAUCCAGCCAUUCCGCGUGUGCGAUGAAGGCCUUCGGGUUGUAAAGCACUUUUGGCAGGAAAGAAAUCGCAUCAAUUAAUACUUGGUGUGGAUGACGGUACCUGCAGAAUAAGCACCGGCUAACUACGUGCCAGCAGCCGCCGCAG
rnacentral:rRNA from 1 species